rnacentral:lncRNA from 1 species
CGGGCACCUAGUCUGGUUAACUGAUGAACUUCCUGGGCUAACUUCUUCUUACUGUACUCCACAUGAGCAACACUACCCAUAGACAGUCUACUGAGAGCAUCAGCCACUAUAUUGGCCUUGCCUAGAUGAUAAAGGACACUUAUGUCAUAAUCCUUCAAGAGCUUUAACCACCUUCUCUGACAGAAGUUAAGAUAUUUCUAUGAGAACAUGUACUGGAG